rnacentral:rRNA from 1 species
UCUGCCCAGUGAGUAUCUUUAACGGCCGCAGUACUUUGACUGUGCUAAGGUAGCAAAAUAAAUAGGCCUUUAAUUGGGGUCGAGAAUGAAAGGCUUCAUGGUUUGACGCUGUCUCCUACUAUUAAUCCUUAAUUUACUUAGUAGGUGAAAAUUCCUACAUAUAUGUAUAAGACGAGAAGACCCUAAGAAUUUUUAAAUUAGCGUUACCAUAAGUGUGAAAUUUUUUGUUGGGGCGACAAUAUGACAUUAAACCCAUAUUAAUAUUACAUAGCAUGGCCGAACUAGGAGAUUAAUAGAGAAUAUAAUUACCUUAGGGAUAACAGCAUAAUUUUUUGUAAGAUUGUGACCUCGAUGUUGGACUAGGGACCUCUUAUAUUAACCGUAUAAAAGGUAA